GAUGAACGCUGGCGGCGUGCCUAAUACAUGCAAGUCGAGCGAAUGGACGAGAAGCUUGCUUCUCUGAUGUUAGCGGCGGACGGGUGAGUAACACGUGGAUAACCUACCUAUAAGACUGGGAUAACUUCGGGAAACCGGAGCUAAUACCGGAUAAUAUUUUGAACCGCAUGGUUCAAAAGUGAAAGACGGUCUUGCUGUCACUUAUAGAUGGAUCCGCGCUGCAUUAGCUAGUUGGUAAGGUAACGGCUUACCAAGGCAACGAUGCAUAGCCGACCUGAGAGGGUGAUAGGCCACAAUGGAACUGAGACACGGUCCAGACUCCUACGGGAGGCAGCAGUAGGGAAUCUUCCGCAAUGGGCGAAAGCCUGACGGAGCAACGCCGCGUGAGUGAUGAAGGUCUUCGGAUCGUAAAACUCUGUUAUUAGGGAAGAACAUAUGUGGAAGUAACUGUGCACAUCUUGACGGUACCUAAUCAGAAAGCCACGGCUAACUACGUG
rnacentral:rRNA from 1 species